AUUGAACGCUGGGGGCAGGCUUAACACAUGCAAGUCGAGCGGGGUGAUGGUGCUUGCACUAUCACUUAGCGGCGGACGGGUGAGUAAUGCUUAGGAAUCUGCCUAUUAGUGGGGGACAACAUCUCGAAAGGGAUGCUAAUACCGCAUACGUCCUACGGGAGAAAGCAGGGGAUCACUUGUGACCUUGCGCUAAUAGAUGAGCCUAAGUCGGAUUAGCUAGUUGGUGGGGUAAAGGCCUACCAAGGCGACGAUCUGUAGCGGGUCUGAGAGGAUGAUCCGCCACACUGGGACUGAGACACGGCCCAGACUCCUACGGGAGGCAGCAGUGGGGAAUAUUGGACAAUGGGGGGAACCCUGAUCCAGCCAUGCCGCGUGUGUGAAGAAGGCCUUAUGGUUGUAAAGCACUUUAAGCGAGGAGGAGGCUCUUUUGGUUAAUACCCAAGACGAGUGGACGUUACUCGCAGAAUAAGCACCGGCUAACUCUGUGCCAGCAGCCGCCGCAG
rnacentral:rRNA from 1 species